rnacentral:lncRNA from 1 species
CCAAAAAUACUCCCAAAACCAUGGGGUCACGAGUACAUAGCCUCUAAAAGUACUGAACAAGAGUCUGAAUGGAAAUAAUACAAAUGUCUGACAAAAACUGCAAUGGAACAAACUGAUAUAGACAGAGUAAGCGGUCAUGCGGACGCUGGGCAGCUACCUCAAUACUCGGAUAGCUCGGAUAAGCAACAGCAACAGCACUAGGUCUUUUGUGCACCUGGAUCUGCACACAAAGUGCAGGGGGUAUGGGGCGAGUCUACCAACUCAGCGAGUGAUAAGCAUGUAUAAAAACCCGAAGAUAAGAGAACACGAAAUAACACAAAAGAAAGCUAUCUAGCAGUUCUAUACAAUGCAAGCCUCAGAGAUAUACAUAUAAAGCAACAGGAAAUAAAUGCAUGAGAUGAAAUGCAAUACAUGAACACUGCAAAACGUGCAGCCCGAUCCAUUUGGGUACCCGCGCUCACGGUGGGGGUUCAGACUCCGGAAGGGCUCCUACAGCCCAAGCCCCAUAUCAUACAGUGCCAAUAUUUACCACUGUUUCCAUGAGAAUAUACGGUGCUAAUAGUUACCACCGUUCCAAUAACAAUAUACAGUCCAGAAAAUAGUGAGAUACUAAUCGUUAGUCUGAAAUAUCAUUUAAGAAACAUGUGAGUUUUUUUAAAACGUAUAAAUAUGGCUGAGUUUGCAAAAAUAGUGUUUAAAACCCUGGACUGAAUUCAAAUAGUUUUCAAAACGUAUAAAUAUGGCCGAGUUUGCAAAAAUAGUGUUCAAAACCCUGGAUAGAAUUCAAAUAAUGUGCAAAUUAUGAUAAUUCUGAAAUAACGAUCCCUGAAGGAUUCUACAAGUCGGCACAAGGCCCCAAACAUGGCAUCAAGCCCAGAUAUCAUCAAUAAAGUAUGCGAAGCAAUCGCCAACAUAGCACAAUCUAUCCUUCGGAUUGGACCGAGUCACAAUUCACAACAUAUAUGACCCUGCACUAACCAUGGAGUGCGUGUCCAGCUUCAUAAUAGCGUCACAAUGUAAUAUACCGGGGUUUCAAACCCUCAGGUCAUCAUCUACACCCAUUACUCACCUCAAGCCGGCCGCAAACUAGCUCUCAAUGCCUUUCCCUUGAGAAUCAACCUCCGCGGAUGCCAAAUCUGAUCAAAACCAAUAGGAAUACAUCAAAAUAAGCUAAUUGAACAUAACCUAAUCGAAAUAACUCAAAAUACACCAAAAAAUACAAAGUUGGCAAAACUCGAGCCCCGGGCCCACUUCUCGAAAAAUUACAAAAUUUAUAUUUUCGGAAUUCUCAUCUCGCCACGAGUCCAUACAUAUAAAGUUCAUCAAAAUCGGAGUCCAGUAGCCCAUUCAAAUUCCAAAUUUUUUAUACCAAAAACCAAGCCCUAAAUUCUCCAAUUUCCACCCAAUUUUCAGAGAUUUAGAUGACGAUUCUUUAAUAAAAUCACGUAAUUAGCUAAUAAAACUUACCUCAAGUCGAAACCUAGGUGAAAUCCUCUUACUCCCUCAUCCAAUAACUCCAAAAUGUGCUCAACAAUGGUGGAAAAUGAUAUUUGCUCGUGGAUGACAUGUUAUAAAACCCUUCUGUCUGCCCAGUCUUUUCUUCAUCGCGAUCGUGACACAACCCACGCGACCGCGAUGACCAAUAUUUUAAAAUUCCAAAAUUUCUCUACGCAAAUACGGCAUGAUCCACGCGAUCGCGAUGCCCUAUGAUCUGACUCCACGCGAACGCGAUCUGCUCUCACGCGAUCGCGUAUAAGAAACUCCAAUGGUCCAAAAGUCCCUCUUCACGAACGCGGACAUCCACACGCGGACACCCGAAAUCCACCGCUACACGAACGCGAAGAACAACGCCACAGGCCUACGCAAUCGCAACCCAACUCAUGCGAUCGCGAUCAACAAAUUCCUACUGCACUGCUGCUCCAUUUUCUACAGCAUUUCUUAAAUCUAAACUUCCCGGAAAUCAUCCGAAAUCACCCUGAGGCCUCCCGGGACCUCAACCAAUAGUAUAAACAUACCCCAAAUCAUCAUACAAACUUGUUCCAAUCAUAAAAACACGUCCCUAAACACAAAAAUUAUCAAAUCAUGACGGAUCCAAGCCUAAGUUUCAACUACAAUUUCCGAAACCAACAUUCGAUCAAAACCCAACCGAACGUCCGAAUGACCUGAAAAUUUGCAGACAUAUCCAAAAUCACCUAACGAAGCUACUGCAACNNNNNNNNNNNNNNNNNNNNNNNNNNNNNNNNNNNNNNNNNNNNNNNNNNNNNNNNNNNNNNNNNNNNNNNNNNNNNNNNNAAAAUUCCAUUCCGACCCCCGGAUCAAAAUCUCACAUAUCAACCGGAAUUCGCCAAAAUUCAACUUAGCCAAUUCAAGCCUAAUUCUACACCAGGCCUCCAAUUUCAGUUCUGUUUUCACUCCCAAGUCAUAAAUCACCAUCCGAAACUAGUCGAAUCACCGUAAAUCCAUUCCGAGCCCUAUAACUCAUAAGUCAACAUCCGCUUGACAUUUCCAAACUACCCCUCUCUUAAAAAGACUACUUGCCUCAGUUUCAACCAAACUCAGACCGAAUAACUUCAAACUUCACAAACACAUAAAAAUGAACAUAUAGAAGCAUAAUACGGGGAAAAUGGGGCGGUAACUCAUGUGAAGACGGGUCGGGUCGUCACAUUCUCCCCAACUAAAAUAAACGCUCGUCCUCGAGCGGUUCAAGAAACAUACCUGGAGCCUCAAACAAACGAGGAUAUCUGCUCUGCAUAUCCUACACUGUCUCCCAAGUGGCCUCCUCCACGGGCCGACCUCUCCAGUGCACCUUCACCGAAGCUAUGUACUUAGAUCUCAACUUCCGAACCUGAUGACCCAAAAUAGCCACUGGCUCCACAUUGUAGGUCAAGUCCUCAUCCAACUGAAUCGUGCUGAAGUCUAAUACAUGAGACGGGUCCCCAACGUACUUCGUGAGCAUAGAAACAUGAAACACCGGGUGAACCCCCGACAAGCUGGGUGGUAAAGCAAGCAUAUAGUCCACCUCCCCAAUCCUCCUGAGUAUCUCAAAAGGUCCAAUAAAUCGCGGACUCAGCUUCCCUUUCUUUCCAAACCUCAUCAUGCCUUUCAUAGGCGAAACCUUCAACAAAACCUUCUCGUCCAACAUAUAAGAUACAUCCCGAACCUUCCGGUCCGCAUAACUCUUCUGAAGCGACUGAGCCGUACAAAGUCUCUCCUGGAUAACUUUCACCAUCUCUAAGGCAUCCAGAACUAACUAUGUCCCCAAUAGUCUAGCCUCGCAGGGCUCAAACCAACCGACUGGAUAUCUAUACUUUCUCCCAUAUAAAGUCUCAUAUGGCGCCAUCGGAAUGCUGGAAUGAUAACUAUUGUUAUAAGCAAACUCUGCAAGCGGCAAGAACUCACCCCAAGAACCUCCGAAAUCAAUAACACAAGCACACAACAUGUCCUCCAAUAUCUGAAUAGUACGCUCGGACUGUCCGUCCGUCCGAGGAAGAAAAGUUGUGCUCAUCUGAAUCUGAGUGCCCAACUCCCGAUGAAAGGUCUUCCAGAACUGGGAAGAAAACUGAGCACCCCUGUAUGAGACAAUAGAAACUGGAACCCCCUGCAACUGCACAAUCUCACGGAUGAAUAUAAUGAAAAGUCUUCCAGAACUGGGGAGAAAAAUGAGUACCCCUAUCUGAGACAAUAGAAAUUGGAACCCCAUGCAACCGCACAAUCUCACGGAUGAAAAUCUCUUCCAACCGCUCCGAAGAAUAGGUAGUACACACCAGAAUGAAAUGCGCAUACUUGGUCAGUCUAUCCACAACCACUCAAAUAGAGUCAAAGUUCCUCGAGGUACGAGGGGGGCCACUCACAAAGUCCAAUGUAAUCUUCUCCCAUUUCCACUCCGGGAUAUCCAUCUGCUGAAGUACACCACCGGGUCUCUGAUGCUUGGACCUGAUGACAAUUGAGGCACCUAGCCACAUAACUCACAAUGUCCUUUUCAUUCUCCUCCACCAAUAAUGCUGCCUCAAGUCCUAGUACAUCUUCGCGGCACCCGGAUGAAUAGAAUACCGUGAGCUGUGGGCCUCCUCUAAUAUCAACUCUCGGAGCCCAUCCACAUUUGGAAUGCAAAUACGGCUCUGCAUCCGCAACACACCAUCACUACCAAUAGUCACAUCUCUGGCAUCAUCAUGCUGGGCCCUGUCCUUCAAGACAAGCAAAUGUAGGCCAUCAUACUGGCGCUCCCUGAUGCGAUCAUACAAAGAAGACUGAGAAACCACACAAGCCAACACCCGGAUGGGCUCUGAAAUAUCUAACCUCACCAUCCGAUUGGCCAAGGCCUGAACAUCAACUACAAGGGGCAUCUCCCCAACUGGAAUGUUCGCCAAGCUACCCAUACUCACAGCCUUCCGGCUCAAAGCAUCGACAACUACAUUGGCCUUCCCCGGAUGGUACAAUAUGGUAAUAUCAUAAUCCUGAGUAACUCAAGCCAUCUCCGCUGUCUCAAAUUUAGAUCUUUCUGCUUGUGCAAGUGCUGAAGGUUGCGAUGAUCCGUAUACACCUCACAAGAUACGCCAUAUAGAUAGUGCCUCCAAAUCUUUAAAGCAUGAACUAUAGCAGCCACCUCCAAGUCAUGAACAGGGUAGUUCUUCUCAUGGGGCUUCAGUUGCCGAUAAGCAUAUGCAAUCACUCUACCCUCCUGCAUCAGAUCCAAUACCAAUCCUCGAAGCAUUGCAAUAUAGCGUAUAAGAACCUGAAGCUCCUAGCAGUACUAACAUUGGAGCCGUAGUCAGCAAUGACUUGAGUUUUUGGAAGCUCUCCUCACACCUACCAUACCAUACAAAUGGCGCAUUAACAUUGGAGCCGUAGUCAGCAAUGGCUUGAGCUUUUGGAAGCUCUCCUCACACCCAUCAGACCACACAAAUGGCGCAUUCUUCUGGGUCAACUUUGUCAAAGGCGAAACUAUAGCUGAAAAACCCAGAAAGAACCUGCGGUAAUAACCCGCCAACCCGAGGAAACUCCGAAUAUCAGAAGAUGAGGACGGUCUGGUCCAACUCUCCACUGCCCCGAUCUUCUUUGGGUCAACCUGAAUACCAUCACUGGACACCACGUGUCCCAGAAAAGCCACGGNNNNNNNNNNNNNNNNNNNNNNNNNNNNNNNNNNNNNNNNNNNNNNNNNNNNNNNNNNNNNNNNNNNNNNNNNNNNNNNNNNNNNNNNNNNNNNNNNNNNNNNNNNNNNNNNNNNNGCCACGGAACUGAGCCAGAACUCACACUUGGAGAACUUUGCAUACAACUUCUCCUCUCUCAACCUCUGCAAUACCACCCUCAAAUGUUGCGUGUGCUCCUCCUUGCUACGCGAGUAAACAAAAAUAUCAUCAAUAAACAUAAUCACAAAAGAAUCCAGAUACGACCGAAAUACACUAUUCAUCGGGUGCAUGAAUGCUGAUGGGGCAUUAGUCAGCCCAAAUGACAUAAACCAGAAACUCAUAAUGCCUAUAUCUCGUCUUGAAAGAUGUCUUCAUGAUAUCAGAAUCUCUAAUCUUUAGCUGGUGAUAGCCUGAACGGAGAUCAAUCUUGGAGAAUACCUUUGCUCCCUGAAGCUGGUAAAAAAGAUCCUCAAUACGGGGUAGUGGAUACUUGUCCUAUACUGUCACUUUGUUCAAGUGUCUGUAAUAAAUGCACAUUCUCAUUAUGCCAUCCUUCUUCUUAACAAAUAACACCGGUGCGCCUCACGGCGACACACUCGGACAAAUGAAACCCUUAUCUAGGAGUUCCUGCAGUUGCUCCUUCAACUCCCUUAACUCUGGUGGUGCCAAACGAUAAGGAGGAAUAGAGAUGGGCUGAGUGCCCGACACCAAAUCAAUACUAAAGUCAAUAUCUCUGUCUGGCAGCAUGCUCGGCAGGUCUACUGGAAAUACAUCAGGAAACUCCCUCACCACGGGAACCGAAUUUAGACUAGGAGUCUCAGCUCCAACAUCCCUCACAAAUGCUAGAUAUGAUAAACAUCCCUUCGUAACCAUCUACUGGGCCUUCAAGAAAGAGAUUACCCUGCUGGGUACAUAAUCCAUCGAACCACACCGCACAAUCCUCGGGAUACCCGGCAUAGCCAAAGUGACUGUCUUGGCGUGACAGUCCAGGAUAGCAUGGCAUGGUGAUAGACAAUCCAUGCCCAGAAUAACAUCAAAAUCCACCAUGCUCAAUAGCAGCAAGUCGGCUCGGGUCUCCAAACCUUCAAUAUUAAAAGGACAGGACCGAUACACGUGGUCCACAAUAAUAGUAUCGCCCAUCGGGGUAGAUACAUGCACAUGCAACGCUAGACACCCUCGGGUAGUCCCCAAAUGAUGAGAAAAGUAAGCAGAUACAUAAGAAUAAGUGGAUCCGGGAUCAAAUAAAACUGAGGCAUCCCUGUGGCAAACUGAGAUAAUACAUGUGAUCACUGCGUCUGAAGCAACAACAUCUCUCCUAUCUUGAAGUGUAUAAAUACGAGCCUGACCACCUUUCGACUGCUCAACGCUCCUGGGGCGACCUCUAGAUGACUGUCCCCCACCCCUACUAGACUGGGAUGGUGCUGAAAAAGAUGGAGAAGAAGAGGAGGGUCGAUCCCUCUACUGAUACCUACCACCACGAAGUCGAGGACAAUGUCUCUUCAAAUGACCAAACUCCCCACACUCUAAACAACUGCCUGGAGCUGGAGAAGGGGACUGAAGGGAACCUCUUGCUACAGAUGAACCCUGGGCCGAUGAAGCAGGUGCAGAACUCUAAGCUGGGAGGGCGCUGAGUGAAGAAUGGCCCUGCUGGUGACCCUGACGGCCACGACCGGAAAAAGUUUCGCUGUGCUCUAGGCGGCCUGACUGAGGAGGUCUAAAAGAACGACCUCUGCCCUAAUGAAAUUGGCCCCUAGAUGGAGCACCCCCAUAACUGCGCGAACCUCGAGGCCUCUUGGCCUCCCUCUCCUCUUGCUCUUAGCGACGAUCCGCCUCAAUCUGGUGAGCCAUGUCCACUACCUUCUCGAAGGAUGUUACUACCACUCACUCCCUGGUCUUCAAGAUACGAAUAGAAUAGUUGAGGCCAUCAGUGAACCUCCUGAUCCUCUUCCGAUCUGUCGGGAUCAUCCAAAUAGCAUGUCUGGCCAACUGAGUAAACCUCAACUCAUACUGUGUCACUGACAUCUCCCCUUGAACUAGCCACUCAAACUAGCGGUGCAGCUCCUCUCUGCGGGACUGCAACACAUACUUAUCUAAAAAGAGAGUGGAAAACUGCUGCCAGGUAAGGGGUGCUGCUCCUGCGGGCCUACGCCGCUCAAAAUCCUCCCACCAUGUGAAUAUUGGCCUCGAGAACAGAAAAGUAGUGAAAGAUAAUCUACUGGACUCUAGAAUCCUUGCUGUACGAAGCAUUCUCUGACACUUAUUCAAAAAUCCAUGGGCGUCAUCGCCCUCAGUACCGCUAAAUGUAGGAGGCUGAAGUCUACCAAACCUCUCUAACCGACGCUGCUCGUCGUCAGGCAUCACCGGAACAACAUGCCAGGGGUGGAGCAACUGGAACAGGCGGUGCAACUGCCUGAGCUGGGGCUACCUCUGGCGUCUGAAGUCCCCGUACAACCUGCUCUGGUGUGAGAGCUGCGGGGGUCUGAUAACCACCCCCGGUUUGAGAUAUCGUUGCGGCAACCGUAGCUGAAACUGCCUGGGCCAAACCAGUACAGACCGAUAAAAUUUUGGCUAAUGCCUCCUGAAGGCCAGGAAUAACAAUAGGCACCACCGGUGCCUGAGCGAGUGCUGCUGGAGCUUCAACAAUUGGGGGCUGAUCCUGAGUAGGGGCAACAGAUGGGAAACUGGUACUGCCCCUGCUGCUCUACCACGUCCACGGCCUCUAGCUUGUGGAAAUGGUAGCUGCCCACCUCGUCCGGUAGCACGAGUUCUUGCCAUCUGCGAGAGAAUAGAAUAUAGAAGUUUAAUUCUCGGAACAUCAAAAUUGCACGAAAAGAGUUCAAGAAUAUGAAAUUUUCCUAAAGGAUCUACAGCCUCCCUAGGAUAGAUACGGACGUCUGCGUACCGAUCCACGAGACUCUACCAAACCGGCUCAUAACUCGUGAGGCCUAGCAACCUACGCUCUAAUACCAACUUGUCACGACUCCAAACCCGAUCGUGAUGGCGCCCGGCCGCAAGGCUAGGCAAGCCCGACCAAACGAUCUUCCAUGGAAUGGCAUUCCAGCCCAAAGAGAUACAAAUUUAAGGUUAAGCAACAAAUUUGAAAUAUAAACUCCCAGCCAGGUAUAAGCAAUACAAAUGAAAACACAGAUGAGCCAACAAUACUCCCAAAACCAUGGGGUCACGAGUACAGAGCCUCUAAAAUUACUAAAUACAAGUCUGAAUGGAAAUGAUACAAAUGUAUGACAAAAACUGCAAUGGAACAAACUGAUAAAGACAGAGUAAGCGGUCCUGCAGACGCUGGGCAGCUACCUCAAUACUCUGAUAGCUCGGAUAAGCAAUAGCAACAGCACUAGGUCUCUAGUGCACCUGGAUCUGCACACAAGGUGCAAGGAGUAUGGGGUGAGUACCAAAUCAGCGAUUAAUAAGCAUGUAUAAAAAUCCAAAGAUAAGAGAACACGAAAUUACAUAAAAUGAAGCUAUCUAGCAGUUCUAUACAAUGCAAGCCUCAGAGAUAUACAUAUAAAGCAACAGGAAAUAAAUGCAUGAGAUGCAAUGCAAUGCANNNNNNNNNNNNNNNNNNNNNNNNNNNNNNNNNNNNNNNNNNNNNNNNNNNNNNNNNNNNNNNNNNNNNNNNNNNNNNNNNNNNNNNNNNNNNNNNNNNNNNNNNNNNUUGGGUACCCGCGCUCACUGUGGGGGUUCAGACUACGGAGGGGCUCCUACAACUCAAGCACCAUAUCAUACAUUGCCAAUAGUUACCACUGUUUCCAUGAGAAUAUACGGUGCCAAUAGUUACCACCGUUCCAAUAACAAUAUACUGUCCAGAAAAUAUUGAGAUAGUAAUCGUCAGCCCGAAAUAUCAUUUAAGAAUCAUUUGAGUUUUUUUAAAACAUAUAAAUAUGGCAGAGUUUGCAAAAAUAGUGUUUAAAACAUUGGACUGAAUUCAAAUAAUGUGCAAAUCAUGAAAAUUCUGAAAUAACGAUCCCUGAAGGAUUCUACAAGUCGGCACAAGGCCCCAAACAUGGUAUCAAGCCCAAAUAUCAUCAAUAUAGUAUGCGAGAUUCUACAAGUCGGGACAAGGCCCAAACAUGGCAUCAAGCUCACAUAUCAUCAAUAUUUUGUGCGAAACAAUCGCCAACAUAACACAAUUUAUCCCUCGGAUUGGACCGAGUCACAAUUCCCAACAUAUAUGACCCCGCCCUAACCAUGGAGUGUGUGUCCAUCCUCAUAAUAGUGUCACAAUAUGAUAUACCGGAGUUUCAAACCCUCAGGUCAUCAUUUACACCCAUUACUCACCUCAAGCCGGGGCAAACUAGCUCGCAAUGCCUUUCCCUCGAGAAUCAACAUUCGAUGCAAAAUCUGAUCAAAACCAAUAGGAAUACAUCAAAAUAGGCUAAUGGAACAUAACCCAAUCGAAAUAACUCAAAAUACAUCCAAAAACAUAAAGUUGGCAAAACCCGAGCCCCAGACCCACUUCUCAAAAAAUUACGAAUUUCACAUUUUCGGAAUCCUCGUCUCGCCACGAGUCCAUACAUAUACAUCAAAAUUGGAGUUCAAUAGCCCCUUCAAAUUCAAAAUUUUGAUACCAAAAAUCAAGCCUUAAAUUCUCCAAUUUCCACCAAAUUUUCAGAGAUUUAGAUGAUGAUUCUUCGAUGAAAUCACGUAAUUAGAUCAUAAAACUUACCUCAAGUCGAAACCUAGGUGAAAUCCUCUUACUCCCUCGUCCAAUAGCUCCAAAAUGUGUUCAACAAUGGUGGAAAAUGAUAUUUUCUCGCGGAUGACAUGUCAUUAAACCCUUCUCUCCGCCCAGUCUUUUCUUCAUCGCGAUCGCAACACAACCCACGCGACCGCGAUUACCAAUAUUUUAAAAUUCCAAAAUUGCCCUACGCAAUGCGGCAUGAUCCACGCGAUCGCGGUGCCCUACGGUCUGACUCCACGCGAACGCGACCUGCUCCCACGCGAUCGCGUAUGAGAAACUCCAAUGGUCCAAAAGUCCCUCUUCGCGAACGCAGACAUCCACACGCGAAGGCGGACACCUGAAAUCCACCACUAUGCGAACGCGAAGACCAACUCCACAGGCAUACACACUCGCAACCCAACUCACGCGAUCGCGAUCAACAAAUUCCUCUUGCACUACUGCUGCAUUUUCUGUAGCAUUUCUUAAAUCCAAACUUCCUGAAAAUCAUCCGAAAUCACCCCGAGGCCUCCGAGAACCUCAACCAAAAGUACCAACAUACCCCAAAUCAUCAUACGAACUUGUUCCAAUCAUAAAAACACGUCAAUAAGCACACAAAUCAUCAAAUCAUGACGGAUUCAAGCCUACGUUUCAACUAUAACUUCCGAAACUAACAUUCGAUCAAAACCCAACCGAACGAUGUCUGAAUGACCUGAAAAUUUGCAGACAUAUCCAAAAUAACCUAACGAAGCUACUGCAACUCUCGGAAUUCCAUUCCGACCCCCGGAUCAAAAUCUUACUUAUCAACCAGAAUUCGGCGAAAUUCAACUUAGCCAAUUCAAGCCUAAUUCUACACCUGGCCUCUAAUUUAAGUUCCAUUUUCACUCCCAAGUCAUAAAUCACCACCCGAAACUAGUCGAAUCACCGGAAAUCCAUUCUGAUCCCUAUAACUCAUUAGUCAACAUCCAGUUGACUUUUCCAAACUAGCCUUCUCUUAAAGAGACUACUUGCC